rnacentral:rRNA from 1 species
GACGAACGCUGGCGGCGUGCUUAACACAUGCAAGUCGAGCGAGGUCCAACCGGUGGCAACACCGGGGAAGACCUAGCGGCGAACGGGUGAGUAACACGUGAGAAACCUGCCCCGAAGUUCGGGAUAACCCGGGGAAACCCGAGCUAAUACCGGAUACCCACGAUUGGUCGCAUGGCCGAUCGUGGAAAGAACUUCGCUUCGGGAGGGUCUCGCGGCCUAUCAGCUUGUUGGUGGGGUAACGGCCCACCAAGGCAUCGACGGGUAGCUGGUCUGAGAGGACGAUCAGCCACACUGGGACUGAGACACGGCCCAGACUCCUACGGGAGGCAGCAGUGGGGAAUCUUGCGCAAUGGGCGAAAGCCUGACGCAGCAAACGCCGCGUGCGGGAUGAAGGCCU